rnacentral:rRNA from 1 species
AUUGAACGCUGGCGGCAUGCCUUACACAUGCAAGUCGAACGGCAGCAUGGGUGCUUGCACCUGAUGGCGAGCGGCGAACGGGUGAGUAAUAUAUCGGAACGUACCCGGAAGUGGGGGAUAACGUAGCGAAAGUUACGCUAAUACCGCAUAUUCUGUGAGCAGGAAAGAGGGGGAUCGCAAGACCUCUUGCUUUCGGAGCGGCCGAUGUCGGAUUAGCUAGUUGGUGAGGUAAAGGCUCACCAAGGCGACGAUCCGUAGCGGGUCUGAGAGGAUGAUCCGCCACACUGGGACUGAGACACGGCCCAGACUCCUACGGGAGGCAGCAGUGGGGAAUUUUGGACAAUGGGCGCAAGCCUGAUCCAGCCAUGCCGCGUGAGUGAAGAAGGCCUUCGGGUUGUAAAGCUCUUUCGGCGGGGAAGAAAUGGUUUCGGUUAAUACCUGGAGCUGAUGACGGUACCCGCAUAAGAAGCACCGGCUAACUACGUGCCAGCCGCCGCUGUAA